rnacentral:rRNA from 1 species
AGAGCGAACGCUGGCGGCAGGCUUAACACAUGCAAGUCGAGCGGGCGUAGCAAUACGUCAGCGGCAGACGGGUGAGUAACGCGUGGGAACGUACCUUUUGGUUCGGAACAACACAGGGAAACUUGUGCUAAUACCGGAUAAGCCCUUACGGGGAAAGAUUUAUCGCCGAAAGAUCGGCCCGCGUCUGAUUAGCUAGUUGGUGAGGUAACGGCUCACCAAGGCGACGAUCAGUAGCUGGUCUGAGAGGAUGAUCAGCCACAUUGGGACUGAGACACGGCCCAAACUCCUACGGGAGGCAGCAGUGGGGAAUAUUGGACAAUGGGCGCAAGCCUGAUCCAGCCAUGCCGCGUGAGUGAUGAAGGCCCUAGGGUUGUAAAGCUCUUUUGUGCGGGAAGAUAAUGACGGUACCGCAAGAAUAAGCCCGGCUAACUCGUGCCAGCAGCCGC